UACGUAGGGGGCUAGCGUUGUCCGGAAUCAUUGGGCGUAAAGAGCGUGUAGGCGGCCCGGUAAGUCCGCUGUGAAAGUCGGGGGCUCAACCCUCGAAUGCCGGUGGAUACUGUCGGGCUAGAGUGCGGAAGAGGCGAGUGGAAUUCCUGGUGUAGCGGUGAAAUGCGUAGAUAUCAGGAGGAACACCGGUGGCGAAGGCGGCCCUCUGGACGGAUACUGACGCUGAGGCGCGAAAGCGUGGGGAUCAAACAGG
rnacentral:rRNA from 1 species